rnacentral:tRNA from 1 species
CAUAAGAUAAGCUAAAUAAAGCUAAUGGACUCAUACUCCAUCAAUGGUCUCUUCCUCUUAUGA